rnacentral:rRNA from 1 species
UGGGGAAUAUUGGACAAUGGGGGGAACCCUGAUCCAGCCAUGCCGCGUGUGUGAAGAAGGCCUUCUGGUUGUAAAGCACUUUAAGCGAGGAGGAGGGUACUGGUAUUAAUACUACCAGCUACUGGACGUUACUCGCAGAAUAAGCACCGGCUAACUCUGUGCCAGCAGCCGCGGUAAUACAGAGGGUGCGAGCGUUAAUCGGAUUUACUGGGCGUAAAGCGUGCGUAGGCGGCUAAUUGAGUCGGAUGUGAAAUCCCCGAGCUUAACUUGGGAAUUGCAUUCGAUACUGGUUAGCUAGAGUGUGGGAGAGGAUGGUAGAAUUCCAGGUGUAGCGGUGAAAUGCGUAGAGAUCUGGAGGAAUACCGAUGGCGAAGGCAGCCAUCUGGCCUAACACUGACGCUGAGGUACGAAAGCAUGGGGAGCAAACAGG